CAUGGGGAAGGAUGUAUUCAUAUGCCUUCACCAGCACAUGCAUUAAACAUGCAGAGAGUUACACAAGGUAGGGACUGAUCUCUGUAUACACUACACCCAUAAUUUCAAACCCUACUUUACGAUUGAGCUGAAGUUCUGACUAUUAUGACCUGUACUUUUACCUUUCUUAUAGUUCUUACCACCUUGGGGCACCAUUCAGGGUGCCUUUUCAUCUGAUUAAAGUUAUAAUGAACAGGGACAUUGCGGUUGUCCCAAGUGGAUGGUAUGAUGAUAGGAUGAUUUUCUGGCCCAGCUAUAAAAACACCGACAGAAUUGAAAGGGCCGCUUUAAAUGAGGAGCAGCAUGAGCCAAACUGGCCAAGAUUUGACGUUUCUGUUGUCCGAACUUGUGACAACUACAAAGACGCAUUAAAAAUAAUGCAACAAUAUGGAAAGGGAUGCACUACCUCAGACCUGCAAUCUGAGGCAGAGAAUGAGGAGCUGCCAGAAAAAAGGAUCAGGAAGCCAGUCCAUCGUCUCGGGGACUCAGAUGAUAGCAAAGAAGACCCGGGAAAUAGUGACCUCACAUCUCUGGGGUUGGCAAGCCAAUUGCACAGGCAGACUCCACCGUCUCGCCGAGUGCCAGCAAGAGUCAUGAGUACUUGUCAACUCGACUCCUCAACUGGAGAUAACUUUCUAGCACCUCACCAUGGGGAAGGACGCAUUCAUAUGCCUUCACCAGCACCUGCAUUAAACAUGCAGAGAGUUACACAAUGAACGGCAGUCCCUCCUCGACUCCCUCCACCCCCCUCACCAGCAGCCCUCAACAUGUGGCAGACAGAGGAGCCUGGAUCCAGCCUGGCCUACAGGCCAACAUGGCGAGGGGGAAGAAUGGCCGAAAACAUUUUCUGCUCUGCGCCUGAGGUAAUCCACAUCCUUAGCCUACUGGAAACUAUUAAGCACAACCAAGACCAGCUGAUUGCGAAGGUGCUGUGAGUAAAAAUGUGUUGACAAGGUCAGCCACGGACGCUGAGGUCACCAAACACGCCAUCAGGUGGUUCAACUUGGCGGGGGAUCGGGCAACGAGGAGACGAGUCCCGCUUCCACCUCCUCAGGAGGAAUAGAGAUGUAUAUGUAUAA